rnacentral:rRNA from 1 species
AUUGAACGCUGGCGGCAUGCUUUACACAUGCAAGUCGAACGGUAACAGGCCGCAAGGUGCUGUCGAGUGGCGAACGGGUGCGUAAUGCAUCGGAACGUGCCCAGUCGUGGUGGGUAACUACUCGCAAGAGUAGCUAAUACCGCAUACGAUCUAUGGAUGAAAGCGGGGGGCCGUAAGGCCUCGCGCGAUUUGAGCGGCCGAUGUCAGAUUAGGUAGUUGGUGGGGUAAAGGCUCACCAAGCCAACGAUCUGUAGCUGGUCUGAGAGGACGACCAGCCACACUGGGACUGAGACACGGCCCAGACUCCUACGGGAGGCAGCAGUGGGGAAUUUUGGACAAUGGGCGCAAGCCUGAUCCAGCAAUGCCGCGUGCAGGAAGAAGGCCUUCGGGUUGUAAAAUGCUUUUGUAAGGAACGAAAAGGCUCUGGUUAAUACCCGGGGCUAAUGACGGUACCGAAAGAAUAAGCACCGGCUAACUACGUG